UUUACCUAAGGAAUUGGCACGAAGUCCAUUGCUGCCAAAGUUUAUAGAUCAGGUACUAAAUCCAUAGUUAUCAGACGCUAACUCCAUAGUCGUCGGGGUUUACUCAAGCGGCGCUAACUCCAUAGUCACCAAGGUUCACUUAACAGGCACGAAGUCACAUCGUCACCAAGGUUUACUCAAUAGGUGCUAACUCCAUAGUCACCAAGGUUCACUUAACAAGCGCUAACUCCAUAGUCGCCAAGGUUCACUUAACAAGCGCUAACUCCAUAGUCGCCAAGGUUCAUCAAAUAGGCACGAAGUCACAUCGUCGCCAAGGUUUAUGCAAUAGGCGCUAACUCCAUAGUCACCAAGGUUUAUACAAAAGGCGCUAACUCCAUAGUCACCAAGGUUUACCUAAUAAUAGGCGCUAACUCCAUAGUCACCAAGGUUUAUCUAACAGCAGGCGCUAACUCCAUAGUCACCAAGGUUUAUCUAACAGCAGGCGCUAACUCCAUAGUCACCAACUAACCCAUCUACCCAUGUUCUACCCAACAAUAUUAGUAGAUAAAAAUAUACAUUUGUAUACGUAGUUUAAAGAAAACCUGUAUAGCAUGCUUUAAUCAACACAUAUGUCACAUAACAGAUGAGACACACACACAUAACACAUAUCUCAUAAAGAAAUAAGCAGAUCUAUAAGAUAGAAGAGAGUGAAUACUCAUUCACACAUAACACAACCAAAUAUAUACACAUAGCACGUAUUUUUAUAUAAAAUACUUCGUAUUAUUGUAUUAGAAGAAAUAACUACACACUCACUUGAUCAGAAGACGAUCCGACAGCACUACGGCUUAUAGAAGUAGUAUUCCUCAGCAGAUCUGGAAGAUCUCCUCGAAAAUCAAACUUCUCGCGGGCAGAGCUUCGACUCGGGAACCGCACUUUUCGGGAUCUUCGGGAUCUCGGGACUUGCCUCGGGGCUAGGGUAUAAUACCGGGGCUUCGGGGUAUUUCUGGCACGCAAAACGAUGCAAAACGGGAGAGAGAAGAGAAGAAAUUGGCAAUUGGGUCGGCUGCCCUCGCAUCCUAUUUAUAGGAGGCUGGAGCCUCGGAGUACGCGGGGCGUACGCCAGUACGCGGGGCGUACUGGUCCGAAAAACGUCACUGCGUGCGUCAUCCGAAGCCACUUGCUGCGAAUGUCGACACUUCGGAGUACGCGGGGCGUACUCGAGUACGCGGCGCGUACCUCGGAUCAGACCGGUGACUCCUUCGGAUAAUGCUUCCGAAUUUCCUUUUAAAUUUAAAUACAAAUUGAUUAAUAAACUUCGGAAAUUCAUAUCUUCUUCAUACGAACUCCGUUUUCGACGUUCUUUAUAUCCACGCGAAGGUGAGACUACGCUCUACAACUUUCGUUUAGACUCCGUCGGCUAAUUUUGACUUUUAUUUUUAUUAUUUAUUUUUAAUAGGCCGCGACAGAAAACUUCGUUAUAAAUUCAUAACUUCUUCGUUUGACGUCCGUUCUCGCCUAACUUUUUAUCGCUUCGAUACCAACAACGAGAUCUUCGAUUCUCGUUUAGAUUGCUAAGGCUAAAUAUCGCUCUAACGUAAAUUCACUUUUUACGUCGCGCUGUGUCGUGCCGGUUCUGUCGCGAAACUUCGACAGGUCAUAACUUCUUCGUUAUAACUCGGAUUUUGGCGUUCUUUAUAUGUACGGAAACCUUGUAACAUAUACUACAACUUAGUUAGGAUUAUUCAUCCUAAAUAAUCUUCUAUCAAAAAGUCAUUUUUGACUCUUAUUGUCUCUAAAUUGACUAGCCCUGAUCUACGGGCGUUACAAUUAUCUCCCCCUUAGGAUGAUUACGUCCCGGAAUCAUCAACGAAAUAGGAUUCGCAUACUGACUCCAUAAGUUAUCUCUCCAUUCUAAGUAAUAACCCUGAUGGGUCGUGUCCCGAUGACCUCUCAUCAUAGUCGGACUCAAUUGAUAUGACCCCUAGGGUCGGAAUAACAACUAUCUUACUAGACAUUACCGAAACAAUGGUAAUGACAUACUUGAAUAAAACGGAAUCAAUUACUAGCUUCUUGAUAACCUUGUGACUUCCCCUGAUCCAAGCGUGAGUCCUGUGCUUCCGGUAGUAUAGAUCUCUACUACCAUUCACACCUACUCAUACUCGUCCCAAGUAUUGUCUCGCAGUUAACCAAGUCACCAUACAUAAAUCAUAUAAUCAUUCAACACAUCAGAUAACAAAACUAGGAUUUAUAUUAAUUCUUGAAACUAUUACACAAAAGUUCAAGUUCACCCUAUACUAUGCCUCUAACAGGCUAUGCUUCCUGAUACAGACUUUACCGACUUUAUAUAUUAAUAUGAAGUCUUCAUCCUUUAACCCUCCCAUCCCUUUCUGCUUCGUUGAGGAACAUGUUGAAUGCCCUUGGCUGUGGAGGUGUGUUUUUCUGUGGGCAGUCUUUAGAAAUAUGACCUUCUUCAUUACACCUAUAGCACAUCUUCUUGUUAGGUGCGCACUUGUUGGCAUAGUGCCCUGUCUUCCCACAUUUGUAGCAAGUCAUCUCCUCGCUACAUUUCCCGAAGUGUUUCUUCUUACACUUCUCACACCACUUAGCCUCAUCUCUUCCUCCAGUUUUCGAGAAUUUACUUUCUUUAUCGAUUAUUGAAGAUCCUUCACGCUUCCUUUUCUCUCCAACUUCAGCCCUUUCCAGACCCUUUUCUUUUAUUUGGGUCUCAACAUUUUUGGCUGCCCAGAUGGCGGCUUUCAGAGUGGUUGCUUGUUUGACUAUCGGACCAAAGUCCGCUGGUAAUCCAUUGGCAAACUUGUUGACCUUGGAAAGUUCAGUCGGAAUUAGGUAUGGAAUAAGCUUCAUCUUCUCCGUAAAGCUCGUAGCGUAUUCAGUAACGCUCAAUUUUCCUUUCUUCAGAUUCUGGAACUCAUUGUUGAUUUCCAGAAGAUCCUGCUCAGAGCAGUAUUGCAUUUUCAUUUGCUCCACGAACUCUUCCCAAGACAUCUUGCUAGCUUCCCCCUUGGGCAUUGAACCAGCCAGUAACUUCCACCAGCUCAAUACUCCAGAUUUUAACAGAGGGAUUGCAAGAGCGGUCUUCUGUCUGUUGCUACACUCGCAACUUUCAAACAUUGUCUCCAUUUCGGAGAUCCAGUCCAUGACUUGCACCGGUGUCGGGCUCCCAGAAAGACAUGGUGGUUUGGAUGCCAUGAAAUCCUUGUACUUGCAUCCACGUCCAUCAUUUCCUCUAUCCUGGUUGUUUUGGCGAACUAUUGGUGGGUUGGCUUGACCAACGGUCCCACUAUAGUUUCCUCCUUCAGAAUGCCCUCCAUUUACUUCGGGCUCUUCUACUCGAAUUGACAAUUCCUCGCGAUUUUGUCUGAUCAGACGUCUAGUUUCUUCCAUCUGAUUAUUCAACAUUGCCUGGAUCAUCACUUGAACUCCGGCCAUUGUCAUUGGUUCAGGCGCUGCUGCCACAACAGGUAUUUGUUCAAUUACUGGUACUUGAUUCCUGUUCUCAUCAGCAUUUCCAACUCCACUCCUCGUUCUCACCAUUUUUGAUCUAUACACCGAAUAUGGUGAAAUUAGAUCCUUAAUCACGAUAGAUAUUCAAAUCAUCCUUAUCACUCCGAAACGUUUAUAUGCUAGUUCUAAUAUCGUAGACGUACGCUUAGAAUCCUAUACACAUAAGGUUUCCAGAUCCGGUCGGCAACAGACCAUAGAUCCGAACAAAUAAUAGCAUCAAUAUAGCUAUCACACAAAACAUUUAGCACGCAAAAGCAUUUUAGGCAAUUUUCCUAAAAUAAAAUAGUGCCUGUGUCAAUUUAGGUGUACUACCUAAAAUAUAAUGGACACACUCAACUCGCAAUCAUUGCUUAGCAUUCUAAGUUUAAGUCUAGAAAUCCUACAAAUUCCUAGUUCGCUUAAACUAAUGCUCUGAUACCAACUGUGACAUCCCCAAUUUCACGGCCAGAAAAGACCGAUUUGUUUAUGCUUUGUUUUCAAAAUCAGAGUGAUCGUUUAAAGAAAACGGUUGCGGAAUUUGUUCCCAAAAUAAAAUAUGAUAACCAUUUUAUCAAAACAUUUCUCGAAAAGAAUGUAUUUUUAUUAAAUAAUAAAACCUCGGGAUGUCAUGUUCGUUACAGACCAAAAGCAUAAACAACAUAAAAUAGACCUUACAAUAGUUAUUCAACUACUGAUCUAUAAUCCAAAAUCUCUCGUCAAGUCCGCCGACUUAUACUCUUGUGUCAUUACCUGUAAUGAAAAGAAAACUGAGUGGGUCAGGCUUGGGAGCCUGGUGAGCAUAUAGGGUUUUCAACCCACAAUAAUACAUUUGUUAUAUUCAAUUAUCAAACAAUCAACCCAAAUACCCAUCCCCAUUAUCUUCUUAAGGUUUCACCCUAAGAACCAACUAUCCUUCAUUCACUUAUUCCUAAGGAAUCGGCACGAAAUCCAUUGCUGCCAAAGUUUAUCUAUCGAGUACUAAAUCCAUAGUUAUCAGACGCUAACUCCAUAGUCGUCGGGGUUUACUCAAGAGGCGCUAACUCCAUAGUCACCAAGGUUCACUUAACAAGCGCUAACUCCAUAGUCGCCAAGGUUUACUCAACAAGCGCUAACUCCAUAGUCGCCAAGGUUCAUCAAAUAGGCACGAAGUCACAUCGUCGCCAAGGUUUAUACAAUAGGCGCUAACUCCAUAGU
rnacentral:lncRNA from 1 species